ACGCUGGCGGCAGGCCUAACACAUGCAAGUCGAGCGGAUGAAGAGAGCUUGCUCUCUGAUUCAGCGGCGGACGGGUGAGUAAUGCCUAGGAAUCUGCCUAUUAGUGGGGGACAACGUUUCGAAAGGAACGCUAAUACCGCAUACGUCCUACGGGAGAAAGCAGGGGACCUUCGGGCCUUGCGCUAAUAGAUGAGCCUAGGUCGGAUUAGCUAGUUGGUGAGGUAAUGGCUCACCAAGGCGACGAUCCGUAACUGGUCUGAGAGGAUGGUCAGUCACACUGGAACUGAGACACGGUCCAGACUCCUACGGGAGGCAGCAGUGGGGAAUAUUGGACAAUGGGCGAAAGCCUGAUCCAGCCAUGCCGCGUGUGUGAAGAAGGUCUUCGGAUUGUAAAGCACUUUAAGUUGGGAGGAAGGGCAUUAACCUAAUACGUUAGUGUUUUGACGUUACCGACAGAAUAAGCACCGGCUAACUCUGUGCCAGCAGCCGCGGUAAUACAGAGGGUGCAAGCGUUAAUCGGAAUUACUGGGCGUAAAGCGCGCGUAGGUGGUUUGUUAAGUUGAAUGUGAAAUCCCCGGGCUCAACCUGGGAACUGCAUCCAAAACUGGCAAGCUAGAGUAGGGCAGAGGGUGGUGGAAUUUCCUGUGUAGCGGUGAAAUGCGUAGAUAUAGGAAGGAACACCAGUGGCGAAGGCGACCACCUGGGCUCAUACUGACACUGAGGUGCGAAAGCGUGGGGAGCAAAC
rnacentral:rRNA from 1 species